AUGGAAGAACAAAUCCAAAAAGGAAACAAAAUGUGUAAAUUGAGAGAAACAUGUCCACCUGAAGGUUUUGUUUCAAAUGGUUAUUUUGGCUGCAAAUUAGAAAACACAAUAAAUGGAAAUAAUGAUAAAUGAGAAAAAUUUAAAACACUGAGAAGUACUGAAUGAAGGAAAAGACAGAAGAAUUGUAGAAGAAAUGCAGAUACUAUGUGUGACCAUGGGAUCAUUUGUGGAGUUUCCUUCAAAAGUUCCACCUAAGAGAACAGACUAGAGGAUACUGUGAUCCAACACAGAGGGAGUCUGUGUAAAGCCAACCAUUUGAAGUCCAGAGACUGAGGAUAGAAGGAGUGUCCAGAGAGAAGAGAGGUAUCACCUACAUUACAGGAUUAUAGCUGAAGUUUCCGGUGAAAUAUCCCAACAAUCCCACCAAGUAUCCUGCUACAGAAACA